rnacentral:rRNA from 1 species
AUUGAACGCUGGCGGCAUGCUUUACACAUGCAAGUCGAACGGUAACAGGCCUUCGGGUGCUGACGAGUGGCGAACGGGUGCGUAAUGCAUCGGAACGUACCCAGAGGUGGGGGAUAACGCAGCGAAAGCUGUGCUAAUACCGCAUGUGAUCUGAGGAUGAAAGCGGGGGACCGAGCAGCAAUGUUUGGCCUCGCGCCUUUGGAGCGGCCGAUGUCGGAUUAGCUAGUUGGUGGGGUAAAGGCCUACCAAGGCGACGAUCCGUAGCUGGUCUGAGAGGACGACCAGCCACACUGGGACUGAGACACGGCCCAGACUCCUACGGGAGGCAGCAGUGGGGAAUUUUGGACAAUGGGCGCAAGCCUGAUCCAGCAAUGCCGCGUGCGGGAAGAAGGCCUCCGGGUUGUAAACCGCUUUUGGCAGGAACGAAACGGUGUCCGCUAAUACCGGGCGCUAAUGACGGUACCUGCAGAAUAAGCACCGGCUAACUACGUG